CGUCGCAGCGGCGACUGUCGCCGCUUAUGGAAGCGGCAGCAGGCGCCGCUGCACCAGGCAGCGGCGUCUGCUGCCUACAUAGCAGCGUGAAAACGCUGCUGUGUGAGCAGCGUUUUCACGCUGCUGUAGCGGCAGGAGCCGCUGCUCAGGCGGCUCCUGCCGCGAGACG
rnacentral:sRNA from 1 species